CGUAGAACUGGCCGCAGAAGACUCUCGGACGCGGGUUCGAUUCCCGCCGGCUCCACCA
rnacentral:tmRNA from 1 species